rnacentral:rRNA from 1 species
UACGUAGGGGGCAAGCGUUGUCCGGAAUCAUUGGGCGUAAAGCGCGUGUAGGCGGUCCGGUAAGUCCGCUGUGAAAGUCGGGGGCUCAACCCUCGAAUGCCGGUGGAUACUGUCGGGCUAGAGUGCGGAAGAGGCGAGUGGAAUUCCUGGUGUAGCGGUGAAAUGCGCAGAUAUCAGGAGGAACACCAAUUGCGAAGGCAGCUCGCUGGGACGUUACUGACGCUGAGGCGCGAAAGCGUGGGGAUCAAACAGG